rnacentral:rRNA from 1 species
AUUGAACGCUGGCGGCAUGCCUUACACAUGCAAGUCGAACGGUAACAGGUUAAGCUGACGAGUGGCGAACGGGUGAGUAAUGUAUCGGAACGUGCCCAGUCGUGGGGGAUAACUGCUCGAAAGAGCAGCUAAUACCGCAUACGACCCGAGGGUGAAAGCGGGGGAUCGCAAGACCUCGCGCGAUUGGAGCGGCCGAUAUCAGAUUAGGUAGUUGGUGAGGUAAAGGCUCACCAAGCCGACGAUCUGUAGCUGGUCUGAGAGGACGACCAGCCACACUGGGACUGAGACACGGCCCAGACUCCUACGGGAGGCAGCAGUGGGGAAUUUUGGACAAUGGGCGCAAGCCUGAUCCAGCCAUGCCGCGUGCGGGAAGAAGGCCUUCGGGUUGUAAACCGCUUUUGUCAGGGAAGAAAAGGUUCUGGCUAAUACCUGGGACUCAUGACGGUACCUGAAGAAUAAGCACCGGCUAACUACGUG